rnacentral:rRNA from 1 species
GUAGGGGGCAAGCGUUGUUYGGAUUUACUGGGCGUAAAGCGCGCGUAGGCGGCACUGCAAGUCACUUGUGAAAUCUCCGGGCUUAACUCGGUAGGGGCCAAGUGAUACUGCAGAGCUAGAGUGCGGAAGAGGCAGCUGGAAUUCUCGGUGUAGCGGUGAAAUGCGUAGAUAUCGAGAGGAACACCGGUGGCGAAGGCGGGCUSCUGGGCCGACACUGACGCUGAGGCGCGAAAGCUAGGGGAGCAAACAGGAUUAGAUACCCUGGUAGUCCUAGCCCUAAACGAUGGAUGCUUGGUGUUCGGGGUCUUCUAGUCCCCGGGUGCCGCAGCUAACGCGUUAAGCAUCCCGCCUGGGGAGUACGGUCGCAAGGCUG